AGGCGAUAAUUAAUAUUUUGAAUUAAGAAAAGUAGUCCGUAUAAUUUAUAAUCGAACAAAGUUUGGAAUUAGCCCGAGAAAUUUAGCGACGUGCUUAAUUAAUAAAAGAAUGAUUAAAUAGAAGGAAUUUUUAGAAUUGGGUUAAGAAAAGGAUUACAUUAAAACUAGCCCAUUUGAAUUAAAAGCCCAAGUCAUCCUUUUUGUCUAGAUACAAAAACAUUCCAGAGGAUUCUAGCUUCACCAUCUUCAUCAUUCUCUAUUCUAAGGGCAUGGCUAAGGAAGAAAAAAAUGAGUAAAGUUUUGAUUACAAGUUUCAGCAACUAAUUCUAGCAAAGGAUAAAACUCAUCAUCUAAUAUCAAUUUGGAGUUGAGACAAGAGAUCCUACGCAUAUUUGGGAUUGGAGAAAUAGAGAAUUUGGAGGUUAAACAACGGGCUAUUUUAUUGUGCUUUAUGAAAUUUGGAUUAAGCGAUCGAGUGUUUUCUUUCAGGAUUAAUACUUGAUGAUGUGGUCGAGCUUCCAACCAUUCUUCCGAAAGUCUCAAUUAUGGGGAGUCAUAUUUUUCUUAGAGCUGCAGUAGUCAAGAUAUUAGAGUUAGCUUGUAGCAAACAAUUUACGUUUAUUUUAUGCCAUGACAUAAUGAUGUAUUUUGGGAAAAUGAAUUAUCCAGGAAUUUAUUAUAUGGUUAAUUGGUAUUUUAUACAGAGUGGUUUGUGCGUUUUCACAGGUGUGGUUUAUUAAGUUUACAGGCGUUAUAUUGCCGAUUUUUCGAAAA